UACAGAGGGUGCAAGCGUUAUUCGGAAUUACUGGGCGUAAAGCGUGCGUAGACGGUUGCGUAAGUCAGAUGUGAAAGCCCCGGGCUCAACCUGGGAAUUGCAUUUGAGACUGCGUAGCUAGGGUGCGGAAGAGGGAAGCGGAAUUUCCGGUGUAGCGGUGAAAUGCGUAGAUAUCGGAAGGAACACCAGUGGCGAAAGCGGCUUCCUGGUCCAGCACCGACGUUCAGGCACGAAAGCGUGGGGAGCAAACAGG
rnacentral:rRNA from 1 species